UUUCUAGAUAGUUUAAAAAGAAUAGAAUUUUGAAGAAAUUUAGGUAGUAAUAAUU
rnacentral:tRNA from 1 species